rnacentral:pre_miRNA from 1 species
AAACUACUCCCUCCGUCCCAAAAUUCUUGUCUUAGAUUUGUCUAGAUACAGAUGUAUCAAGUCACAUUUUAGUAUUAGAUACAUCCGUAUCUAAACAAAUCUAAGACAAGAAAUUUGGGACAGAGGGAGUAGUUG